GAGGCCCCAGGAGGUAGGGGGCAGAGAAAAAGGAAGAGGAAGCCAGGGUGAUUGGAAGAAAAUGCAGAGAGCUGUGUGAGGGUUAGCGUUGAUCGUCCAGGCUCCAGGAGUGCGCAGAUGUGGAACUGGAAAUCUCCCUGGUUUGGCGGCCAGGGCUGUGGACUGAAGGAGCUGGACUCGGAUGUGGGAGCAAGCGCAGGCUGCUGUUUGGGUGCUCUCGGGACUAAAGGCUGGUUUGGCGAUACUUCCGGAGGCGGGGGUGGCGGAUUAAGGUUAAUGACAAUGGCAAUGACAGAGAAUGAUAAUGACAGCUGCAGGAGCUUGCAGAUUGUUGCAGGGACCAGCAACAGCGCAAGGAGUCCAUCCAUGUGAAAGGGAAGCUCUCAGCGGAGACCUGCAGGUCAACCCUACCUCCCCUUACCUCAGGAGAUCCUCAGCGGGACCAGCCAAGUUUUCCCUGGGGAAGUCACCUUGGUAGCCUUGCAUUGCGUCCAGUGCUUCUCUCACCAGAUGCUAUUUACCAGCCACGGUUUCCUGCCCUGCAUGGCCCCAGCUCCCCACCACCCUCACUGUUCCAGUGGCAUCACUGAGUGUCUCCACCUGCAUCAGCACCAGGACAGCCGGAGGCUGCUCUUAUGCUUAUCCUAUUGCUCUGCAGGAGCUCUAUGGAAAAGCCAUACUACUUUGUGGUUUUUACUACAUAUGAAUGCCAGCAGAAGCAGAUGAAUAGGCCUGGUUUAGAUUUUGUCACCGUGAGAGACCACAGGACUUUUAAAAUACAUUGUCUUCCUGUACAGGGACUUGUGUCCUUGCUCGUUGUUGCUUUGGUUUGAUUGCUAAUACACUUGAACUGUUGGGGUAAACAAUAAUGGAUUAGCUAAAUAGGCUAAAACUAGUUGGUCUUAUAAUAAAACGCU